AGAGUUUGAUCAUGGCUCAGAACGAACGCUGGCGGCGUGCCUAACACAUGCAAGUCGCACGCAGUUAAGGGGGCAACUCCUUGAUUGAGUGGCGCACGGGUGAGUAACACGUAGGUAACCUGCCCUUCACUGGGGAAUAACCUGUCGAAAGACGGGCUAAUUCCGCAUACGUCCAAGACUGCUCCGGCAGAUUUGGGGAAAGGCGGCCCGCAAGGGCUGUCGGUGAUGGAUGGGCCUGCGUACCAUUAGCUAGUUGGUAGGGUAAUGGCCUACCAAGGCUACGAUGGUUAGCUGGUCUGAGAGGAUGAUCAGCCACACUGGAACUGACACACGGUCCAGACUCCUACGGGAGGCAGCAGUGGGGAAUAUUGCGCAAUGGGCGAAAGCCUGACGCAGCAACGCCGCGUGAGGGAUGAAGGUUCUCGGAUUGUAAACCUCUGUCGGGGGGGACAAAACCUAUGCUGGCUAGUAUCCAGCAUAAUUGAUGGUACCCCCAAAGGAAGCACCGGCUAACUCCGUGCCAGCAGCCGCGGUAAUACGGAGGGUGCAAGCGUUGUUCGGAAUUAUUGGGCGUAAAGCGCACGUAGGUGGCUUUAGAAGUCCGGUGUGAAAUCCCUCGGCUUAACCGAGGAAGUGCGCCGGAAACCAUAAAGCUAGAGUAUCGGAGGGGAGAGUAGAAUUCCCAGUGUAGAGGUGAAAUUCGUAGAUAUUGGGAGGAAUACCGGUGGCGAAAGCGACUCUCUGGACGAUUACUGACACUAAAGUGCGAAAGCGUGGGUAGCAAACAGGAUUAGAUACCCUGGUAGUCCACGCCGUAAACGAUGGGUACUAGGUGUCACGGGAUUUGACCCCUGUGGUGCCGUCGCUAACGCAUUAAGUACCCCGCCUGGGAAGUACGGCCGCAAGGUUGAAACUCAAAGGAAUUGACGGGGGCCCGCCACAAGUGGUGGAGCAUGNNGGUUCAAUUCGACGCAACGCGGAGGAACUUACCUAGGCCUGACAUGUANAGAUCCUGAUGAAGUNNGGAGUGCCGCAAGGA
rnacentral:rRNA from 1 species